UCGGGGCACGGCCGGCUGCAGGAGCCGCCAUCCGGAGCCGCCGCUCUCAGGGAUGCUCAGGGUGGGAUUUUUGGGGUGUCUGCAGGGCCGGGAGUUCCCUACGGGUCCCUCGCAGCUCAGGAUAUUUAUUCCAGCAUUCUGUAAUCCAGGCUCGGCCGGGUUUGGCACAUCCCCACUGCGAGGGGAGAAACGGGCUGGGGGUGCAGGGCUGGACCAGUAUUCCCAGCACGGACUACCGUGGAGCACUGCCCCCAGCAUGGACCACUGCCUCCAGCAUGGAGCUCUGCCCCAGCAAAUUCCAGUAUUCCCAGCCUGGAUCACCAUGGACCACUGGUCCCACAGUAGGUACUUCCAUCACUACAAUAUGAUGGAUAAUAUUUCAUAGGGUUUUUAUGCAAUGCUAAAUGUUACUAUAAGUGAUACGUGAGAAAAGUUAUCAAAUCUUUAUUUAUUGCCUAUAAAUGUUCAGAGAGAAAAAUGACAUCUUUGGUAAUUUUUUUUUUUCUGCACAUCUAAUUUUGCACAGUGCUAAAAAUGUUCGGUUGGAAAUUAAUUAAUUUAUACUUGCAUAAUUUUAGUAUAUAUAGCAUGCAUUAUUUGCAAUUGUUUGGCACAAUCAUGAGUCAUCUCUAGCAUGGACCACCAUGGACCACUGCCCCAGCACAUUCCAGAAUUCCCAGCAUGGACCACCAUGGACCACGGAUCAUCCCUAGCAUGGACCACCAUGGACCCACUGCCCCAGCACAUUCCAGAAUUCCCAGCAUGGACCACCAUGGACCACGGAUCAUCCCUAGCAUGGACCACCAUGGACCCACUGCCCCAGCACAUUCCAGAAUUCCCAGCAUGGACCACCAUGGACCACGGAUCAUCCCUAGCAUGGACCACCAUGGACCCCCUCCCCAGCACGCACCACUGCCUGGUCUCAGUACACCCCCCUGCCUCAGCAUGUCCCAGCAUGGACCACCAUCCCCAGCACAGCCCCCAGCCCCAGCAUGGAGCACCUCAGAGCAGCUCCCUGAGCCCCAGCACAGCUUGGAGAGCAGCAGGACACUGGAUGGGUUUGGGCCCUGGUUCCACAUCCCAUGAGGGCCCAGCCCCCUCCCUGCCCCAGGGAUCACCACAGCUGCAUUUUCCAGUGGGGAAACUGAGGCACACAGUGACAGCACUUUGGCUGAGCUGAGCCUGUGCCAGAGCAGGGACCUGGAGCCAGCCCUGGGGGAUCAGCCAGGUGAGGGGCACCCACAGCUCCUGGGAAUCACCUGGCACUGCCCCUGCCUUGGCUGUUCAGGGCAGGGAGGCUCCACCUCCCUCUCAGGCCAGCAAGGACCAAGCCCUGAGAGGAGAAAUGCCAUGGACUGGAACCAGGCACUCCAGCCUGGAGAGACAGGAUGAUCCAGGAGCCUCACCACUUGUGCAAGGAGAGAUGGGAAGCUCAAGGGCAAUGCCAGGAACAAUUGGGUGAUGCAGAGAAAGGUGCACAAGGAGGAGCUGGCCUUGGCCAAAGGGAGGGACAAGGGAAAGAUUGCAGAAGUUGUGUUUUGUAAUAGUCUUAAGUGAGAAAAAACCUACUUUGUUUUCCAAAUUGGGCACAUGUUGCUGCCUCCCCCCUGCCCAUUGCUCCCUCAUCAUCCCAGCAGAGUCCAGGAGAAGAGGAUACCAGGAGAGGAACCCAACACUGAGCAGAACCAGCAGCUGCUGACCCUGGGGAACCUGAAUAAUCCAUAAAAAGCAGGAAACCCCAGGAGGUGAGUUGCCUUCCCUGCAGCAGAAGCCUGGCCCUGGCACAAGGUGCUGUCCUGGGGGAGGGCUGUGCUGAGAUCCCCACCCACACCUCCCCAGCCAGUUCCCCUCUCCCACCAGGCCUGGGAGAGCAAGCUCAUCUUCCCCCCACAAAAACAGAGUGGUUUUAUUUUUAUGGUAUGAUUAAAUCUAUUUUAUAGAACUUCAGCUGUAACAGAGAAGCUUCAAGAAACACACACACACAAAAAAACCCAGAUACACGGGGUAUUUCCCUGCCUUAUAAUUCUCAUCCUGUGCUUCCUCAACUCACAAACCAGCAAAAUUAAAUAAAAUAAAAUAGGUAAUAAAAUAAAAUACUUGUUUCUGCCCAGACCUGAAGGACCCCACAUGGAAAACCUUCAAUGCUGGUCUUGCUUUUUCCUCCCCACCUAAGCUCAAUUAACUGGGAUGCCCACCCAACUCCCACUGAACAGCACUGGGAAAGUCCCAAGGGUCCCUGUGCACACUCAGGCAGCUCCUCUGGAAGCAGCAACCCCCAAAUUCCCCCGUCCUGCUCAGCACUCCACAGGAGCCCCUCCAACCCUGCUCAGGACCUAAACCCCCCCAGCCUCCUUGACUGAUCAUGGGACCCCCAAAACUCCCUCAGCACCUCAAAGCUCCUGACCCUCUGCAGAGAAGUGAGGGGUCCCCAGCCCUAGUGCCCCCGUGUCCCGCAGCCAGAGCCCCUGAUUUCAGUGAGGAGGGGCAGUCACUGACCUGAGUCCCUGCAGGGACAGGGGGGACAGGGGUUUGGCCCAGGAGAGCCAGGCAGGGGCAUGUCACUGCAGAGGGGCCAGAGUCACCCCUGCCACAGCCCUUCCUGCUGCUGGGGGACACCAGGACCUGUCCCC
rnacentral:lncRNA from 1 species